CCAAUAGCGUAUAUUAAAGUUGUUGCAGUUAAAAAGCUCGUAGUUGAACCUCGGGGUCUACCCAUUGGUCAGGCUUAAUUGUCUGCACUGGUGAGAUGGAUCUCUACCUUCUGAGGAACUUUCAUGCCAUUUAUUUGGUGUGAUGGGAAAUCAGGACUGUUACUUUGAAAAAAUUAGAGUGUUUAAAGCAGACUAUCGUCUGAAUACAUUAGCAUGGAAUAAUGAAAUAGGACGGACUGAUUCUAUUUCGUUGGUUUCUAGGAUCACCGUAAUGAUUAAUAGGGAUAGUUGGGGGCAUUAGUAUGCAAUUGUCAGAGGUGAAAUUCUUGGAUUUAUUGAAGACUAACUACUGCGAAAGCAUUUGCCAAGGAUGUUUUCAUUAAUCAAGAACGAAAGUUAGGGGAUCGAAGACGAUCAGAUACCGUCGUAGUCUUAACCAUAAACUAUGCCGACUAGGGAUCGGACGAAGUUAAUUUUAUAAUGACGCGUUCGGCACCUUACG
rnacentral:rRNA from 1 species